rnacentral:rRNA from 1 species
AAAUUGAAGAGUUUGAUCAUGGCUCAGAUUGAACGCUGGCGGCAGGCCUAACACAUGCAAGUCGAGCGGUAGCACAGAGAGCUUGCUCUCGGGUGACGAGCGGCGGACGGGUGAGUAAUGUCUGGGAAACUGCCUGAUGGAGGGGGAUAACUACUGGAAACGGUAGCUAAUACCGCAUAACGUCGCAAGACCAAAGUGGGGGACCUUCGGGCCUCAUGCCAUCAGAUGUGCCCAGAUGGGAUUAGCUAGUA